rnacentral:lncRNA from 1 species
UAAGAGGAGAUGCCUUAAUAACAUUGAAGAAAAUGGGAUGAUCUAAACAUAGAUUAGGAAGGUGAAUGCCAUAAAUUAACUGAAUGAAGGGGGACGCCUUAAACAAAAUAAUGGAAAAAGAUGCCUUAAUAAGACUCGAUGAAAUCACAUUCCCUAAAUUAACUCAAAGAAGGUCCAUGCAUUAAAGAAACAAAAAAGAUGAGGUUGCCUUAUAUAAAUUGAACGAUGGAGGAUGCCCUAAAACAACUCAAAAAAAGGCAUUGCCAUUAGGAACUUCAUGGAAGGGGAAUGCGCUAAGAAAACUCAAGGAUGGGGUUCCCUUAAACAUAAUCAAAUGAGGGGAUGCCAUAAGUAACUCUAAGAAUUAGGUUGCCCUAAACAAACUCUAGGAAGGGGGAUGCACUAAAAAAAUUCUCAAGGAAGAGGGCACAAACACUAAACAAACUCGAGGAAUAGAUAUUCUAUAAAGAAACUAAGGGAUAGUGGGACGUCUUAAUAAGACUCAAGGAAGGGGGAUGCCUUAAACAAAGAUAUGGAGGGAGAAUGUUGUAAACAAACUCAAAGAAGUGAUGUGCUAACAAGACUCAAUGAAGGGGGAUGCGCUAAUGAAACUCAAAGAAGGGGGAUUCUCUUAACAAAAUUUGGGAAGGGGAUGUCAUUAACAAACUCAAGGAAGGGGGAUGCUCUAAACAAACUCUUGGAAAGGGAAUGAAUUACAAAAUUUCCAUGAAAAAGAAUGACCUAAGAAACUAAAGCAAGGGUGACGCCGUAAUGUAACUCAAGGGAGUGGGAUGGCCUAAGGAAACUCAAGGAACAUGGAUGCAUAAAACAAACUAAAGGAAGGGGGAUGCCCUAUUAAAACUC